CAAUAUUGUGGUGAUUGAACCAUAUAGAAGAUAGGUUCAAGUUUGAUGUGUAAGGCUAAAUUUUGAUUCUUAAGGAUUUGGAAGGAAGAUAGGAAGAUUGCAUUGGACAUGUUUUAAGAAGGUUGACAAGUGGAGAAGAUGCACCAAACACAAAAAGGACUUCAUAACAACAUUAAUAACAAGUACAAGUUCAAUAUAAAAGAUGCAUAUACGCAAAGAGAAAUCGACGUAAUUCGGACCCACUGGACAAGUUUUUAUUGGCCGAUUUUUGUAAAGGAUGUAAUUCUUGUUUUUUGUCUUCAAUAGAAUGUAAA